UGCAGAAUCCCGUGAACCAUCGAGUCUUUGAACGCAAGUUGCGCCCCAAGCCUUCUGGCCGAGGGCACGUCUGCCUGGGUGUCACAAAUCGUCGUUCCCCCUCAUCCUUCAAGGAUUCGGGACGGAAGCUGAUCUCCCGUGUGUUACCGCACGCGGUUGAUCGAAAUCCGAGCCAAGGAUGCCUUGAGCGUCCCGACAUGCGGUGGUGAACUCGUUCAACUCUCCCUAUCGUCGGUCGCUCUUGUCCGGAAGCUCUAGAUGACCCAAAGUCUUCAAUGCGACCCCAGGUCAGGCGGGAUCACCCGCUGAGUUUAAGCAUAUCAAUAAGCGGAGGAAAAGAAACUAACAAGGAUUCCCUUAGUAACGGCGAGCGAACCGGGAAGAGCCCAGCUUGAAAAUCGGACGUCUUCGGCGUUCGA
rnacentral:rRNA from 1 species